rnacentral:rRNA from 1 species
AUUGAACGCUGGCGGAAUGCUUUACACAUGCAAGUCGAACGGCAGCACGGACUUCGGUCUGGUGGCGAGUGGCGAACGGGUGAGUAAUGUAUCGGAACGUGCCCAGUCGUGGGGGAUAACGUAGUGAAAAUUACGCUAAUACCGCAUACGAUCUAUGGAUGAAAGCGGGGGAUCGCAAGACCUCGCGCGAUUGGAGCGCCCGAGAUCAGAUUAGGUAGUUGGUGGGGUAAAGGCCCACCAAGCCAACGAUCUGUAGCUGGUCUGAGAGGACGCCCAGCCACGCUGGAUGUGAGAGACGGUCCAGACUCCUACGGGAGGCGGCGGUGGGGAAUUUUGGACAAUGGGCGAAAGCCUGUUCCAGCCAUUCCGCGUGCAGGAUGAAGGCCCUCGGGUUGUAAACUGCUUUUGUACAGAACGAAAAGGUUUCUACUAAUACUAGGAGCUCAUGACGGUACUGUAAGAAUAAGCACCGGCUAACUACGUGCCAGCAGCCGCAGUAA